GAUGAACGCUGGCGGCGUGCCUAAUACAUGCAAGUCGAGCGAACAGAUGAGGAGCUUGCUCCUCUGACGUUAGCGGCGGACGGGUGAGUAACACGUGGAUAACCUACCUAUAAGACUGGGAUAACUUCGGGAAACCGGAGCUAAUACCGGAUAAUAUAUUGAACCGCAUGGUUCAAUAGUGAAAGACGGUUUUGCUGUCACUUAUAGAUGGAUCCGCGCCGCAUUAGCUAGUUGGUAAGGUAACGGCUUACCAAGGCAACGAUGCGUAGCCGACCUGAGAGAGUGAUCGGCCACACUGGAACUGAGACGCGGUCCAGACUCCUGCGGGAGGCAGCAGUAGGGAAUCUUCCGCAAUGGGCGGAAGCCUGACGGAGCAACGCCACGUGAGUGAUGGAGGUCUUCGGAUCGUAAAACUCUGUUAUUAGGGAAGAACAAAUGUGUAAGUAAAUAUGCACGUCUUGACGGUACCUAAUCAGAAAGCCACGGCUAACUACGUG
rnacentral:rRNA from 1 species